rnacentral:rRNA from 1 species
GAUGAACGCUGGCGGCGUGCCUAAUACAUGCAAGUCGAGCGAACGGACGAGAAGCUUGCUUCUCUGAUGUUAGCGGCGGACGGGUGAGUAACACGUGGAUAACCUACCUAUAAGACUGGGAUAACUUCGGGAAACCGGAGCUAAUACCGGAUAAUAUUUUGAACCGCAUGGUUCAAAAGUGAAAGACGGUCUUGCUGUCACUUAUAGAUGGAUCCGCGCUGCAUUGCUAGUUGGUAAGGUAACGGCUUAUCAAGGCAACGAUGCAUAGCCGACCUGAGAGGGUGAUCGGCCACACUGGAACUGAGACACGGUCCAGACUCCUAAGGGAGGCAGCAGUAGGGAAUCUUCCGCAAUGGGCGAAAGCCUGACGGAGCAACGCCGCGUGAGUGAUGAAGGUCUUCGGAUCGUAAAACUCUGUUAUUAGGGAAGAACAUAUGUGUAAGUAACUGUGCACAUCUUGACGGUAACUAAUCAGAAAGCCACGGCUAACUACGUG